CUACUAUCCAGAACAGUAGACGAUUGGCCAAGAAGGGAACAGAAACUCCUACAUAAACUCACCUUGGCAGCCAGGCUCACCAUGGCACAAGCAUGGCUCAAACCUGACAUCCCACACGUUCAUACACAAAAUAAAAGACACCAAUGUAAUGGACCAUCUCACGGCACUGGUGAGAGGUACAGUGAAAUCAUAUGAAAAGGUCUGGGAGUUGUUGAAGGCUGGGGACUGGGG